rnacentral:rRNA from 2 species
CGCCUCUUGCUAAACGAAAAGUAUAAGAGGUCCCGCCUGCCCUGUGACUAUAUGUUUAACGGCCGCGGUAUUUUGACCGUGCGAAGGUAGCGCAAUCACUUGUCUCUUAAAUGGGGACCUGUAUGAAUGGCAUAACGAGGGCUUGACUGUCUCCUCUUUCAAGUCAAUGAAAUUGAUCUCCCCGUGCAGAAGCGGGGAUAAGCACAUAAGACGAGAAGACCCUAUGGAGCUUUAGACACUAAAGCAGACCAGCAUUAAUACCCUGAACAUAGGGCACGAAUAAGCUGACCCCUGCCCUAAUGUCUUUGGUUGGGGCGACCGCGGAGAAACAAAAAACCCCCGCAAGGACCAAAUGUACUACAUUCACAACCAAGAGCGACAGCUCUAAUUAGCAGAACUUCUGACCAAUAAGAUCCGGCAAUGCCGAUUAAUGAACCGAGUUACCCUAGGGAUAACAGCGCAAUCUCCUCUUAGAGCCCAUAUCGCCGAGGAGGUUUACGACCUCGAUGUUGGAUCAGGACAUCCUAAUGGUGCAGCCGCUAUUAAGGGUUCGUUUGUUCAACGAUUAAAGUCCU